CCUACGGGUGGCAGCAGUCGAGAAUCAUUCACAAUGGGGGAAACCCUGAUGGUGCGACGCCGCGUGGGGGAAUGAAGGUCUUCGGAUUGUAAACCCCUGUCAUGUGGGAGCAAAUAAAAAAGAUAGUACCACAAGAGGAAGAGACGGCUAACUCUGUGCCAGCAGCCGCGGUAAUACAGAGGUCUCAAGCGUUGUUCGGAAUCACUGGGCGGAAAGCGUGCGUAGGCUGUUUCGUAAGUCGUGUGUGAAAGGCGCGGGCUCAACCCGCGGACGGCACAUGAUACUUCGCGACUAGAGUAAUGGAGGGGGAACCGGAAUUCUCGGUGUAGCAGUGAAAUGCGUAGAUAUCGAGAGGAACACUCGUGGCGAAGGCGGGUUCCUGGACAUUAACUGACGCUGAGGCACGAAGGCCAGGGGAGCGAAAGGGAUUAGAUACCCGAGUAGUC
rnacentral:rRNA from 1 species